rnacentral:lncRNA from 1 species
UUAAUCCAUUCAUAGAUUAAUGGAUUAAUGAAUUAAAGGGUUGUUUUGGGAGUGGCUGGCUUUAUGACAGGAAGAGAGGCCUGUGCCUGCCCAGUGAGCUCUCUCCCCACAAGAUGCCCUGUGCUGUCAUGAGACUCUGCAGUGUCCCUACCAGCAGGAAGGCUCUCCCCAAAUGCAGCCCCUUGACCCUGGACUUCCCAGCCUCCAGAACUUGAGAAGAGGAACAAAUGGAGGAACAUCCCAGUCAAGUGACAUUCCUAGUGACAUUCACCAGAACAGAGUCAAGCUUUGGAUCCCAUGUUCUGUGACUUCCUCUUCACCACGCUUCCUCCACACACGUAGCAGCUCAAGGGUUUCUGAUGAGUGGGGUCUAUGUUCCCUUUAUGAGCUGUAACGCACACCAUGAAGGUCUGCGGCUUGGCUAUUGAGUCAGUGAGAGCGUGAACCUACUAUUAGAAGAAAAACUCUGAAUACGUCUGAACGUCAGAAAGAACGAAGUUUGGACACAUUGUCUUUAAGAACUGUAACACUCACCCCAAGGGUUUAUGGAUUCAUUCUUGAAAUCAGUGAAACCAAAAGCUUUCCAAAGUUUAACACACAGGGAAAUGACUUACUGCAAAGAACCACUCUUCCCCACGAGACUUCGAGAAGACCCGCUGUCACGGACUGAGUUGUGUCCUCUUAAAAUUCAGAUGUUGGAGUCCAAACCCCCAGUAACUCAGAGUGUGAACGUAUUUGAAGAGGUCUUUAAAGAGGUGAUGAAGGUCUUUGUCUCUGACAAUUUGCCUCUGUGACGUGGAUGGGACUGGAAGUCCAUUUGGAGCCCUGUCUUCUCCACCUAGGGAGAGAGACCCCAUGAGCUCGUCAAGCUCCUUCUGUGACUGAUCAGAGAUCCCACCGUGAGUCCAGCUCCUGGUCCCAUGCUCUGGAUAUAUCGGUCCCUGGCAGCGUGAGUGCCUCUGUGUUCACUGUCCCAUUUGAGAAUUCUAAGUAGAAUUCUGAACAGGCUGGAGCAGAUUGCCCACCCCAAGGGACAGAUGUUGGCUGGUACUGUUGGUAUUCAUGGAAGAUUCCUUCUGACACUCCCUCCUUCUUUGUAAUUGCCAUGAACUGGAGCACUGGGCCAAUAUAAAUCAUCCAAGGGUGAACACGCUGCACAUGGACGGCUCCUCUUUGUUUUUGAAGGGAUUCCAUCUCUAUUUUGCCAUGUGCUCCUUCACCCCACUCCCCACCCCCGUCUUUCAUUUCUUUCUCUGGAAAAGAUACUUCAACUCACAGGACUGCGAUGUUGAAACGGACACCCAAGAGCAUCACAGAUGGGCCAGGCCUGGACCUCUCGGGACAACAUUCCUCACGACUUUUAGAUAGAAGAGAUUAGAGAUUUGGGACUGGUGGCAACUGGUAACGUUUUCAGUGUUUGGUAAACAGCCAGGGUCCGGAGCUCUGGGAACAGCCUGAUUUAGCUCUUUGUUUAAGUUUUGUGUUAGAGGCUCCCAAGAAGCUGAUGCAGGGGAAAGAAAUUAACAACCAUGGCUCAUUCACAGCCAGGCAGCCAAAUGGACAGCUCUAUAAGACUCAAGCCGACAGCGGAGAGAGUGCAACCAAACAGCCUUGGCCCAGCUUUCAGAGGAGAACGUUAUUCACCCCAACUGCUCUGCAUCUGCCUGGAUGUCUGCCAAGAUCUGUGAGCAUUACAGCGUUGGUAUGCUUUGGGUGAGGCCUGUGGCUAUGGCAACAAGUUGGGAGCAACCCGGUCCCUGGGAAUGAGAACAGUGUCUAAAAUCAGGCAGGCGAGGGGCAGGGAGGAGAGGUAAAGGUUGGACUUGCCUGAAGAUGGAGCCGUUUUAUUGUUGUGGGUAAAGCUGCUACCAUUAGGGGCUGUUUACAGAGUGGGUGCAGCUCAAGCUGGGAGCAUGUUAGACUCAGCGACUACGAUCAACCUAUUGACUUGUUCCCAUGAGACAGAGUAAAUUAACUGUUGCAGUACUGGUCAUGUACCACCAACCUCCUGUGAACCAGCCCUCAGUGAAACAUUUAUGUGAAAGGCCAUGGUGUUCCCAUAAGAGGGUGCAUGUUCUCUCCCUUGACUAACUCUUCAGUAUGCCUCAUUCUCACGCGCUGGUGUGCAGGAAGGAGUCCAACAUGCCCCAUUGACAGUCAUGCCCUGUAUGUGGAAAGUCUUCAGGUAGAGCACUGGGCUCAGGUUUGAAGAUGUGAGUUCUAAUCCUAGCAAGGCCAUUACCUCCCAGUGACCUCAUGUCUCGAUUUCCUCAACCACAAAACAAAGGCAUUGGUGAGCUGACCUCUAAGGCCUCUCCAGUUCUCACCUUCUGUGUCUCUACAGACUGGAGACUAGAAGAUUAUGGGCACUUUUAUUGAGUCUUCAUUUUGUUUCCAUUUCUUUGUAGUCAUCAGCUGGAGUUGAGGACAAGUUUUAACAAUAGAUAGGUUUCUUUUUGUCUCUUUUUAAAAAAUUUUAUUUAAAAUAAAUGCCAAGUGUAGUGGCUCAUACCUGUAA